rnacentral:rRNA from 1 species
CUCGGCUCAGGAUGAACGCUGGCGGCGUGCUUAACACAUGCAAGUCGAAACGGAGUUUUUAAACGGAAGUUUUCGGAUGGAAGUUUAGAAACUUAGUGGCGGACGGGUGAGUAACGCGUGGGUAACCUGCCUCAUACAGGGGGAUAACAGUUAGAAAUGACUGCUAACACCGCAUAAUAUAGCGAAACCGCAUGAUUUUGCUAUCAAAUAUUUAUAGGUAUGAGAUGGGCCCGCGUCUGAUUAGCUAGUUGGUGGGGUAAAAGCCUACCAAGGCGACGAUCAGUAGCCGGCUUGAGAGAGUGACCGGCCACAUUGGGACUGAGACACGGCCCAAACUCCUACGGGAGGCAGCAGUGGGGAAUAUUGGACAAUGGGGGAAACCCUGAUCCAGCGAACCGCCGCGUGAGUGAAGAAGUAUUUCGGUAUGUAAAGCUCUAUCAGCAGGGAAGAUAAUGACAGUACCUGACUAAGAAGCCCCGGCUAACUACGUGCCAGCAGCGGC